AUUGCAACUCUUGUUAUUACAUUUUUUAAUUUUGAACAGCAUUACAGUGAAGAUGCUUAAAGCCAUCGGUCAAACUUUCUUUUCUUCUGGACUCCAGCACCCAAAAUUCACUGCUCAACAGAGUAAGGGUGAAGACUAUGAGGUCCGCACUUACCACACAACAAACUGGGUCAGCACAGCUGUGACUGGCAUGGAGCAGGACCCGGCCUUAAGCACAGGCUUCAGAAGACUCUUCAAAUACAUUCAGGGGAAUAAUGACAAGAG